rnacentral:lncRNA from 1 species
GGAAAGAGAAGCAAUCAACCAAGAGAUCAUCAUGUUGUUACACCUAUCCCACAACCUUUGUUGAACCACAUUGGUAGGUCGGGUGUAUGUGCCGUCAACAAAACUGAUUUGGUUUUUGGCUGUUAAGGCAAUCAGCAUUUUACGUCUCCAGCCCCCAUAGCCACUACCCGAGAAGGGAGUGGGAACAAGUGAUACCCCAGGGACAUCAAAAGAGUACACAAAAAGGGGACUAGAAGAGUCUACAGCAGUAGAGGCACCAACGUUUGUGCUAGAAGCCAUAGUUAAAGGAUCGGUUUAAAUGAACGACCUUGUAACAAACACAAUACUACCAAAACAAGUAUUCAAACACAAAGACCAAAAACAGUCUACAGUCAGAUCAAAUAUUCACAGACAACACCAACAACACGAGUUGCUCACAAGAACAGAGUCAAAUAAUCACAUAUAAUAUCGAAGAUAAGGACAGAGUUACCCUCAUUCUUCACGACCGGAGAAGAUCGGCCUUCAAACAACGGAGAAACGCUAGGUAUCAAACCGUAGGUGUAACCUUGAAAACACACUUUACCGGAAAUCUGGUUAGGAACGCCGGAAAAUCACCCAAAGCGUCCACAAAGUGAUAAUCGAGCCACCGGAAUACAGCAAAACCUCAGGUUAAACCGUCAGAAACACUAGAAGCCGAUAGGUCACCCAAAAUCAACCAACCAAAAUCAUCAGAAAAUCUGUCCAGAAUGUUCAGCAGAGUGAAACACACUUGGAUAUCACGAUGAGAACCUCAGAAGGGUCUCUGUUAGGUUGAAAUCUUCAUCAACCCUGAGGUCUCAGAAAUCAUCCCCAAAAACCUCGAAACAGACUUCAUCCAGGACCACGAAGCACACAGAAACAUGAUCGGAUCGUCGUCGAGGCUCUGAUACCAUGUAAACGUCGAGAUUAAACCG